rnacentral:rRNA from 1 species
CCUACGGGUUGCAGCAGUGGGGAAUAUUGCACAAUGGGCGCAAGCCUGAUGCAGCCAUGCCGCGUGUAUGAAGAAGGCCUUAGGGUUGUAAAGUACUUUCAGUUGGGAGGAAGGCGUUGAUGCUAAUAUCAUCAACGAUUGACGUUACCAACAGAAGAAGCACCGGCUAACUCCGUGCCAGCAGCCGCGGUAAUACGGAGGGUGCAAGCGUUAAUCGGAAUUACUGGGCGUAAAGCGCACGCAGGCGGUUUGUUAAGUCAGAUGUGAAAUCCCCGGGCUCAACCUGGGAGCUGCAUUUGAAACUGGCAAGCUAGAGUCUCGUAGAGGGGGGUAGAAUUCCAGGUGUAGCGGUGAAAUGCGUAGAGAUCUGGAGGAAUACCGGUGGCGAAGGCGGCCCCCUGGACGAAGACUGACGCUCAGGUGCGAAAGCGUGGGGAGCAGACAGGAUUAGAUACCCGCGUAGUC